CAUGCUUUCUGGAGGCAGAUCCCUAUGGCUCAUGAUGACAUUUCUAAACAAGCAGGAAUGAUGCUUGAACCAAUUAUUGGCAUUUUGAAAAAGUUACUCAGAGGAUGCUGCCAGUCAUAUAAAGGAUCCUCUGCUUCACAUUAUGAAAGAAAGACGUGAACUACAAACCUGAAUGCAACCUGGAAUUUCCAGACAGAUGAUCUUGUGACAGCCUUUUCAAGAGUCCAGGUACGGUAAACCUUUGUCUGUGAAUUUUCUGCAGUGAGCUAAACUCAUUUACUGUAAACUGGGGAAGCUUUGCAAAAAACCCCACAAAAAACAACAGACCAAUUUGUUACAAGGGCACGAUACAGAAUCAAAAGGACAUAAAAUGCCAUAGUUAAAGUUUUCUGAAAAUUACUGUAAAGAAAAGAUGUUCAAUAUGAAAUAGAAUUAUCUACUUUCUGAAGUUUGAUAGUCCACUUCUGCUGCAGGUUUUCCUCUGUUCUUGUAUUGGAAAUUAGUGGGGAAUAGCACUAUCAUGCAAGAUAUUUCACAGUAUGAAAUCAGUAACAUUGUAAAGUUAUCUUAAGUAACUGCAAAAGCAUACUUUUUUAACUAAUUGGAACUUCUUUGUGCAUACUUUUCAAGUAUGACUUUUCAGUGAAAGUUUGUUGGGCUGCUUUUACCAUUGACUUUACAAGCCAUGCCUGCUGGAAAUGAAAACCAGAUCUCUAUCAAAAAACAUUAAAAGCAGAAAUGUGCAGUUUAAGCUUCUCAAGUAAUAUAAUUGUUUAGAAGAGUACUAUUAAAAUAAUCUGAAAAAAUCAAAGACUUAGAAAAAUGAGUCAUGUAAUUUUAGGUUUUGAUCAGCUCUUUUGGAAAACAUUUCUUUAUACUAAAAAUUAGUUAAGACAAAGCAAAUUGUGUAAGUGGAAAAUGUUAAUCAACAGCACUCUGUAAAAUCAAGUAUCUGUACUCUGAAAUUACUUAAAUUUCCAUCUGCAGAUUUAUAUCAUAGUGAAAACUAUUCAUUUGACUGAACUACAUUUCUAACUGGAAUAAAUAAC
rnacentral:lncRNA from 1 species